UACGUAGGGCGCAAGCGUUGUCCGGAAUUAUUGGGCGUAAAGAGCUCGUAGGCGGCCUGUUGCGUCCGCUGUGAAAUCCCGGGGCUCAACCCCGGGCCUGCAGUGGAUACGGGCUGGCUAGAGGCAGGCAGGGGAGAACGGAAUUCCUGGUGUAGCGGUGAAAUGCGUAGAUAUCGAGAGGAACACCUGCGGCGAAGGCGGGUUGCUGGGCCGACACUGACGCUGAUGCGCGAAAGCCAGGGGAGCGAACGGG
rnacentral:rRNA from 1 species